UGCCAGCUUCUUGAAUUUAUG
rnacentral:piRNA from 1 species